UCACACGACUCUCGACAACGGAUAUCUCAGCUCUUGCAUCGAUGAGGAACGUAGCAAAAUGCGGUACCCGGUGUGAAUUGCAGAUGCCCGCGAACCAUCGAGUUUUUGAAUGCAAGUUGUGCCCGAGACCAUUUGGUUGAGGGCACGUCUGCCUGGGCAUCAC
rnacentral:rRNA from 1 species